rnacentral:rRNA from 1 species
GCCAAAAAUCUAGCCCUAUCUUUAUUAAUAACCCGCAAAUCUAAGUAUAUUUACAAAACCAUUUUCUUAAUUUAGUAAAGGCGAUCGAAAAAUAAAUUAGAGCUAUAAUAAUAGUACCGCAAGGAAAAGAUGAAAUAGAUAUGAAAUAGACCUUAAGCAUGAAAAAGCAGAGACACAUCCUCGUACCUUUUGCAUCAUGAUUUAACUAGUUUAAUCAAGCAUAAAGAACUUUAGUUUGACUCCCCGAAACUAGGCGAGCUACUUCGAGGCAGCUUAAUGAGCCCACCCGUCUCUGUUGCAAAAGAGUGGGAAGACCCCUAAGUAGCGGUGACAGACCUAACGAGCCUAGUGAUAGCUGGUUACUUAAGAAAAGGAUUUAAGUCCCACCUAAAGCAUUAUAAAUAUUACUAAACACCCCCCUAUGCUUCAGAGUCAUUCAAAUGAGGUACAGCCCGUUUGAAAUAAGGAUACAACCUACACCAAUGGGUAAUUUUAUAAAUACACUUAAAUAAGUGGGCCUAAAAGCAGCCACCUUUAGAAUAGCGUCAAAGCUUUCUUACCUAAUAUAUUAAUUUCACCAACAAUCAAAAACCCUUUACACGUAUUAAGUUAUUCUAUAGUUACUAUAGAAGUAUUUAUGUUAAAACAAGUAAUAAGAAGAUAGACCUUCUCUUAGAUGUGAGUGUAAAUCAGAAAGGACUAACCACUGUUAAUUAAUCAUAAAUGAGCACAAAACAGCAACCCCACUAGAAAACCCUGUUUUUAUUAAUGUUAAUCUAACACUAGAACAUCUCAAGAAAGAUUUAAAGAAAAAGAAGGAACUCGGCAAAUAUUAACCUCGCCUGUUUACCAAAAACAUCGCCUCUCGACUUAUAUGAGAGGUCCAGCCUGCCCAGUGACUAAAUUCAACGGCCGCGGUAUCCUAACCGUGCGAAGGUAGCGUAAUCACUUGUUCUUUAAAUGAGGACUAGUAUGAAUGGCACCACGAGGGUUACACUGUCUCCUUUUUUUAAUCAAUGAAACUGAUCUCCCCGUGAAGAAGCGGGGAUAUUUAUAUAAGACGAGAAGACCCUAUGGAGCUUUAAACAUCUAUAGCACUGGUCCACACUUCAUACCCUUCUGAGGUUUAAUCAUUAUAUAGACCAGCAUAACUAUUAGUUUUAGGUUGGGGUGACCGCGGAGCAAAAAUUAACCUCCACGUUGAACGGAAUUUAUCCUGAGCUCAAAGCUACGACUUUAAGCACCAACAAACUGACAUCAAUUGACCCAACAUGUUGAUCAACGAACCAAGUUACCCUAGGGAUAACAGCGCAAUCCAUUUCAAGAGCCCCUAUCGACAAAUGGGUUUACGACCUCGAUGUUGGAUCAGGGUAUCCCAGUGGUGCAGCCGCUACUAAAGGUUCGUUUGUUCAACGAUUAAAACCCU